ensembl:ncRNA
CUCGUUUUUGCGAUCACAAAUUA